rnacentral:rRNA from 1 species
UACAGAGGGUGCAAGCGUUAAUCGGAAUUACUGGGCGUAAAGCGUGCGUAGACGGUUGCGUAAGUCAGAUGUGAAAAACCCCGGGCUCAACCUGGGAAUUGCAUUUGAGACUGCGUAGCUAGGGUGCGGAAGAGGGAAGCGGAAUUUCCGGUGUAGCGGUGAAAUGCGUAGAUAUCGGAAGGAACACCAGUGGCGAAAGCGGCUUCCUGGUCCAGCACCGACGUUCAGGCACGAAAGCGUGGGGAGCAAACAGG